rnacentral:rRNA from 1 species
AUGCUCCAAGUACAGAUCUUAUGCAGAUCAAACAAUAGAAAAUAUGACGGAACAGUUGCUUCAGAAGAUUCCAAAAGCCGGUCUCAAACGCUCCUGAAAACAUUUUCAAGCAUUCUUUAUGGUUGCAACGUGGAGAUUGAGAUGAACAACCAGUUUGAGGAGUUUACAGCAGACGAGAUCUCACGGGUGGUGUUCGGGAGUAACCAUAGAGAGGCAGAUGGAGUCCAUCUUGCGCAGGAGGUCCAGUUUCUUGCCUUCUCCAGUAUAUUCAACGUUUUUAGACAUGUCCCGGGAUUCAGAUGUCUUCCAACAAAAAACUACUUUGAGGCUCCAGAAGCUCCAGAAAGAGGUGAAGAGAGCAUCCUGGCCAAUAUUUUCCAAAGGAAAGCGAUAUUCAGGAUUUUAUUUAUCUGA